rnacentral:rRNA from 1 species
GACGAACGCUGGCGGCGUGCUUAACACAUGCAAGUCGAACGGAAAGGCCCUGCUUUUGUGGGGUGCUCGAGUGGCGAACGGGUGAGUAACACGUGAGUAACCUGCCCUUGACUUUGGGAUAACUUCAGGAAACUGGGGCUAAUACCGGAUAGGAGCUCCUGCUGCAUGGUGGGGGUUGGAAAGUUUCGGCGGUUGGGGAUGGACUUGCGGCUUAUCAGCUUGUUGGUGGGGUAGUGGCUUACCAAGGCUUUGACGGGUAGCCGGCCUGAGAGGGUGACCGGCCACAUUGGGACUGAGAUACGGCCCAGACUCCUACGGGAGGCAGCAGUGGGGAAUAUUGCACAAUGGGCGGAAGCCUGAUGCAGCAACGCCGCGUGCGGGAUGACGGCCUUCGGGUUGUAAACCGCUUUCGCCUGUGACGAAGCGUGAGUGACGGUAAUGGGUAAAGAAGCACCGGCUAACUACGU